rnacentral:rRNA from 1 species
UACGAAGGGGGCUAGCGUUGCUCGGAAUCACUGGGCGUAAAGCGCACGUAGGCGGCUUCUUAAGUCAGGGGUGAAAUCCUGGAGCUCAACUCCAGAACUGCCUUUGAUACUGAGGAGCUUGAGUCCGGGAGAGGUGAGUGGAACUGCGAGUGUAGAGGUGAAAUUCGUAGAUAUUCGCAAGAACACCGGUGGCGAAGGCGGCUCACUGGCCCGGUACUGACGCUGAGGUGCGAAAGCGUGGGGAGCAAACAGG